rnacentral:rRNA from 1 species
UGGGGAAUUUUGGACAAUGGGCGAAAGCCUGAUCCAGCAAUGCCGCGUGUGUGAAGAAGGCCUUCGGGUUGUAAAGCACUUUUGUCCGGAAAGAAAUCCUUGGCUCUAAUACAGUCGGGGGAUGACGGUACCGGAAGAAUAAGCACCGGCUAACUACGUGCCAGCAGCCGCGGUAAUACGUAGGGUGCAAGCGUUAAUCGGAAUUACUGGGCGUAAAGCGUGCGCAGGCGGUUUGCUAAGACCGAUGUGAAAUCCCCGGGCUCAACCUGGGAACUGCAUUGGUGACUGGCAGGCUAGAGUAUGGCAGAGGGGGGUAGAAUUCCACGUGUAGCAGUGAAAUGCGUAGAGAUGUGGAGGAAUACCGAUGGCGAAGGCAGCCCCUGGGCCAAUACUGACGCUCAUGCACGAAAGCGUGGGGAGCAAACAGGAUUAGAUACCCUGGUAGUCCACGCCCUAAACGAUGUCAACUAGUUGUUGGGGAUUCAUUUCCUUAGUAACGUAGCUAACGCGUGAAGUUGACCGCCUGGGGAGUACGGUCGCAAGAUUAAAACUCAAAGGAAUUGACGGGGUCAUAGCUG